AAUCAGUAUGUAAAAUCAAUUCAAGUUAGCUGAAAUUUGAGAGCACUGUUUUGUUUUAUUUCAGACAAAGAAAAUCUACACUUUGAGGCAACCACUGACAAGGGCCAUGCCGUGGAAGGUGCUCCCUGGAUUGAGAGUAUGGAAGGAGCUACUAGCCAGGAAGACCCAGUCUCCAACAUGCAUGGGAUUCAAGGCGCCUCCAGGCCCGAGUUCCUCCCCGCGGCCACCCGGGAAGGCGGCGAAGGCGCGGAAGACCUGGAGCGGGACAGCAGCGCGCUGAGUCUCUCGGGACUUUUCCAGUUGGAUGACAGCCCUGAAACGGGUUGCUCCAGAGCUGUGUCCCUGGAGACCGGGAGAGGAAGCACCGAGGGAGAGAAAGAACGUGCUGAGGGGGAAAGGGCACCGAGCAGCGCCGAGGAGGAGCAAGCGGGCAUCCAGCCCCCCACAGUGCUGACGAGGCCCUCAAGUCCCAGCGUCCCCUCUCCUGAGAACUGACCCUUGUCACCACCAUCGCUCCAGCCUGGCCAGGCUGCCCUGCCAUCCGCCUCCUAGGGCCAGGCUGCCGUGGUGCUGCAAUCGCGCCCUCCUUCCUCAAGCGGAAAACAGCCCACAGCUCAGCAGCCGUGGAUGUGCAGCCCCAGGAAGGGCCCGGGGAGCCCCCAGGACAGCCCACGGGCUUGUAGCUCCUGACCUUGGAGGGCCAGAUGUGCACUGUGGAGGCUCAGACGUGUGGCAGCAGCCCGGGCCUCUACCACAAGAUAUCAGUAACAAACCACGCCAUGUCCGCCUUCCCACCCCCAAACUGUGACAAUCAAAACCUGCCUUCAACCUGCCAAAGUCCCCUGCGGCUGGGCUGGGACCCACUCAGCCAGGCCAGGGAAUGCACAUGUGCUAUUGUUAGGCCGAGGCGGUCUGGGAUGUUCGCAUAUAGAUUUCUAAAUUUUUUAAUUAUUUCAGUUAUUUUCAGUUAUUUUUUGUUUUAAUUUCUUUGUUUUCACUUGUUUUGAGG
rnacentral:lncRNA from 1 species